AAGAAGUCCUAAUAUUUCCCUGCCGUCUUUCUUUUUCAUGAUCUUUGGGACACAGAACUCUUAAAUUACUGUGGAAAUAACCUCCUGGCUGGGGUACAGUCCCUUAGAUGAACGGUAUCUUAAGGGUGCUUUAAACAAGACCCUUCUCAACUUUGCCAGACCACACAUCAAAUUCUUCUUGUGAACUAAAGGCAAACGCUUUGUCCUCUUGUGC
rnacentral:lncRNA from 1 species